rnacentral:lncRNA from 1 species
UUAUUUUGACUUAAUGUGUAGUUUGAGAAAAAUCAUAAUGCUAUAAUGAAAUAUUGCUAUGGCAAUAUUUGAUCAUAUAUUUAUAAUUUAUUCUUCAACUAAAGACUUCUAAGUUGGAUCGUUAAAAAUUAAUUAAUUUGGUUUAAGCUUUUUCAACACCGCAAAUUCAUUCUUACAAAAACAAGAAAAGUAUGUAAUGGGUCGACAAUCGUUAUUCUUAUAAAUCACCCAAUUUUGCAUGUAUUAUUUAAGUUGUAUUCAAUUUUUCUAAAGUAUCUACUAACUUAACUCAAUACUAAAAGUUUUUUAUAAAUCCACC